UCAUUUCUAUGCUAUGUUCAUUAAUACUUCUCAUGUCAUGACGUCGUAAAUAUAUUAAUAACAAUCUCCCUUUGCAGGACUACUACGCCCUUGGUGCACUGCCUAUGGCAUCUAAGGAACACUCCAAAGGAGAUUUUUGUGACUCAUUUCAUUUACAUGGGGCCCACGAAACGGUUAUACACGUACCUCUCCUGUAUAUAUGCAUAUGCAUUCACCUCAAAAUACACAUAUUUCACCUAAUUCGUACACUAUUUUGCAGGUAUCUUUCUCCUUGAUAUUUGAAACUCAAAUCACAAGAGGAACACUCUAUUAUCAAUGUACAGUUCAAUAUAAAUAACGCAUCCAAGAGGUGACAACAUAUAUUAGUGUAAGCAGUAAAAAAAAAUAUUGACUGCUGUCCCUUUUUCUUUUUAUUAUAUAU
rnacentral:lncRNA from 1 species